GACGAACGCUGGCGGCGUGCUUAACACAUGCAAGUCGAACGAAGUGGCGAACGGGUGAGUAACGCGUAAUCAACCUGCCCUUCAGAGGGGGACAACAGUUGGAAACGACUGCUAAUACCGCAUACUGAAGGAGGGGACUGCGUCUGAUUAGCUAGUUGGAGGGGUAACGGCCCACCAAGGCGAUGAUCAGUAGCCGGUCUUGGAGGAGGAACGGCCACAUUGGGACUGGGAACAGGCCCAGACUCCUACGGGAGGCAGCAGUGGGGAAUCUGCCGCAAGGGACGAAAGUCUGACGGAGCAACGCCGCGGGAGUGAUGACGGCCUUCGGGUUGGAAAGCUCUGUUAAUCGGGACGCGGUACCGGAAUAGAAAGCCACGGCUAACUACGUGCCAGCAGCCGCGGUAAUUC
rnacentral:rRNA from 1 species